GGUCGCGUAGCUCAAUCGGAAGAGCCGUCCGCUCAUAACGGACUGGUUGCAGGUUCGAACCCUGCCGCGACCACCA
rnacentral:tRNA from 1 species